rnacentral:rRNA from 1 species
CCUACGGGAGGCAGCAGGUAAGGAAUAUUGGUCAAUGGACGAAAGUCUGAACCAGCCAUGCCGCGUGAAGGAUGAAGGUCCUCUGGAUUGUAAACUUCUUUUAUCUGGGACGAAAAAAGGGAAUUCUUUCUCACUUGACGGUACCAGAGGAAUAAGCACCGGCUAACUCCGUGCCAGCAGCCGCGGUAAUACGGAGGGUGCAAGCGUUAUCCGGAUUCACUGGGUUUAAAGGGAGCGUAGGUGGGUCUGUAAGUCAGUGGUGAAAUCUCCGAGCUUAACUCGGAAACUGCCAUUGAUACUAUAGGUCUUGAAUUAUCUGGAGGUAAGCGGAAUAUGUCAUGUAGCGGUGAAAUGCUUAGAUAUGACAUAGAACACCGAUUGCGAAGGCAGCUUACUACGGAUAUAUUGACACUGAGGCUCGAAAGCUGGGGGAUCAAACAGGAUUAGAUACCCCUGGUAGUCCACGGCCCUUAAACCGGAUGGAUACCUCGACANNNGAUACACUGUGUGUNUGNGNGAGAGAUAGUAGUCCGCCGUGGUAGUACGACGCGUAGUUAGUUAACGUUAAGUUAAGUUGNGGNGNGAGAGNGCGACGGACGACGACGAGGGAGGAGG